rnacentral:rRNA from 1 species
UACGUAGGUGGCAAGCGUUAUUCGGAAUUAUUGGGCGUAAAGGGCGCGUAGGCGGCCUGGCAAGUGGAAGGUGAAAUCCCUCGGCUUAACCGAGGAACUGCCCUCCAAACUGCUUGGCUUGAGACCGGGAGAGGUGAGUGGAAUUCCCAGUGUAGCGGUGAAAUGCGUAGAUAUUGGGAGGAACACCAGUGGCGAAGGCGGCUCACUGGACCGGUACUGACGCUGAGGCGCGAAAGCGUGGGGAGCAAACGGG